UGUGUGGCAGAAUUCUGGACUGAGGAAAUUUUUGCUUAGCCAAAUGCUACAGACAGUGCUUAUGCUUGUGAAUAAUAAUAAUAAUAAUAAUAAUAAUAAUAAUAAUAAUAAUAAUAAUAAUAAUAAUAAUAAUAAUAAUGGAAAUGUUUGUUGCUUUAUUUGGUUAUGUAAACUAAAAAAGUUUUAUUCAUAUUAAAUAUUUAUUUAUUUAUAAAACCUCAAUUUAGUUUGCCUAGUAUGAAGUAUCCCAUAAAAACAAAACAAAACAAAACAAAACGUCUUCUCUUUUCCCCCUAAUUUGCUGUCUUUUCCUCUCUGAACCAAAUUGAACCAGUGGACAAAUAGGUCCCAAUGCUUCUUGCAUAUGACCACAAGCUUGGGCAUGUCAGCUGCCUCUGCUCUCCUCUCUAGAUGACAGAUACAUCAGGUCUGGGUUCAGCUGCAGGGCCUCAGGAGAGCAAGAGGAAGCUGCUCUCAUCCUGGCCCAGUGUUGAGAAGUGUAUUGCAGGGAGAGUUUCCAGCUCCACUGGGAGCCGGCUGGUGGAUUUGCCCUGCGCUCUGGCCAUUCAGAGGACGAUGGUGUAAGAGGAACUCAGAAGGCCGAGGAUGAGAUUAAAAAAGCGAAUUUGGGCGACAACGCUCAGACUAGAUAUAAGCUCUAGUGGUGUUGGUUGUGUUCUGGAAGACCUGAGGGACACAACGGCUACCAUGCACAUCUGCAUCCUGUAUGUGGCUGAGGGGGAGCCUCACGGAUUUAUGAAGAAUCCAGAAAUGUGUGUCAUCAUUAUGGAAAAAGGGCGACACAGAUCCACUGAUUGGUGGAGUUUGGAUCAGAGCACAGGAAGAAGUCAAGCUAAGCAGUCACAAGCAAGAGAACAUUCGGCUCCUCUCUCAUCCGCCACAUACUUGACCCACAGUAACUCCGCUUUGACAGAGCAUCACAGCUUUUCUGUCUUUGUUGAAGAAGGCUGA
rnacentral:lncRNA from 12 species